GGAAAGCUGGCAUUGCCCCCGUGGGGAUUUUCUUGCCUUCUCCAGACAUGACAUCCAACGCGGACAUCCCAGUCGACAGCGCGGAGAUCGAUGAUAUCCUGUCGUGGAUCAGCAACGACGGGACACCCAGCUCAGGCAUUCCAGAUGACAGCCUGGAACUCGACGGUUUGCUCAGCUGGAUCGUUGGUGAGUUCAGGGGCCGCAGCGGUGGCGGAUGGAUGUCCGCGCCGAGUGGCUGUGGGAAGGCUGCCGUCCUGGUUUUGGGGGAUGUUCUUUGUUUUGCAGAAGCGUCG
rnacentral:lncRNA from 1 species